UACGGGGGGGGCAAGCGUUGUUCGGAAUUACUGGGCGUAAAGGGCUCGUAGGCGGCCAACUAAGUCAGACGUGAAAUCCCUCGGCUUAACCGGGGAACUGCGUCUGAUACUGGAUGGCUUGAGUUCGGGAGAGGGAUGCGGAAUUCCAGGUGUAGCGGUGAAAUGUGUAGAUAUCUGGAGGAACACCGGUGGCGAAGGCGGCAUCCUGGACCGACACUGACGCUGAGGAGCGAAAGCCAGGGGAGCAAACGGG
rnacentral:rRNA from 1 species